UACGGAGGAGGCAAGCGUUAUCCGGAAUUAUUGGGCGUAAAGCGUCCGCAGGUGGUUGGUCAAGUCUGCUGUCAAAGCGCAAAGCUUAACUUUGUAAAGGCAGUGGAAACUGAUGAACUUGAGGGUGAUAGGGGCAGAGGGAAUUCCCAGUGUAGCGGUGAAAUGCGUAGAGAUUGGGAAGAACACCAGUGGCGAAAGCGCUCUGCUAGGCCGGGUCUGACACUCAGGGACGAAAGCUAGGGGAGCGAAUGGG
rnacentral:rRNA from 1 species